rnacentral:rRNA from 1 species
UCAGGAUGAACGCUGGCGGCGUGCCUAACACAUGCAAGUCGAACGAGAGAGGAAGGUGCUUGCACCAUCCAAUCGAGUGGCGGACGGGUGAGUAACGCGUGGGUAACCUGCCUCAUACAGGGGGAUAACAACUGGAAACGGUUGAUAAUACCGCAUAAGCGCACAGCAUCGCAUGAUGCAGUGUGAAAACUCCGGUGGUAUGAGAUGGACCCGCGUCUGAUUAGCCAGUUGGCGGGGUAACGGCCACCAAAGCGACGAUCAGUAGCCGGCCUGAGAGGGUGAACGGCCACAUUGGGACUGAGACACGGCCCAAACUCCUACGGGAGGCAGCAGUGGGGAAUAUUGCACAAUGGGGGAAACCCUGAUUGCAGCGACGCCGCGUGAGCGAAGAAGUAUUUCGGUAUGUAAAGCUCUAUCAGCAGGGAAGAAAAUGACGGUACCUGACUAAGAAGCCCCGGCUAACUACGUGCCAGCCGCCGC